CAAAUAUCACUUGACUUUGUGUGAGAGAUGAAAAACCAGGACUGCGAGAAAGUAAGAAAAACAGCCUGAGAAAGCAAAAGUUGAGGUUGAUCUAAGGAAUGCCUCAAACCCUCGAAAGACAAAAGUAUGAGUCAUGGGGUGUAUAGUGUGGAGGUCAAAGCUGAUAAGGCUGCCCAA